CCCGGUGGAGCUUACAUUCGAGUAAUUCUGAUUAACUCGUGCUUCCAUUUUCUUUCGUUGUUUUCCCUCUUCAUACGAUGAAGAUGAAUUUCACAUUCAAGCUCAUCUGUUCUCAACGUGGCAGCAGUUCCCAGCAAACAAGCAGGGAUGCGAGCGGUCCAGCUUCUCAGGGUUUGUAGCGCUGGACAAAAGAGAAGAGUCCUCCGCGGGUCCUAGAAGGGCGGGCCGCGCGUUACCAUGGAGACCGCGGAACAGAAAGGCGCGCCCGGCACUUCGCGGCUCAGCCCCUCUUCUCUGAGGCGCGGGUGGGAUUUUUUUCGACUUCACUUGAGGAGACCUUCGAGCUCCUUGGGGCCCUACCGGGGGGAAGACAGGACCCGCAAGGCCAGUAACCUGAAAUGCAGAGUGGAGCCGUUGAACUUCACUGGUCUCUAAAGCCAUGGUGCCGAUGGACAAAAAAUGCAGAACAGCUCCUGCCCCUUGCCUCAAAAUGUCAGUCACUGGGAAAAGGCAAUUAUUUUGAUGGGUGCCCACAGGGAUUUGGUUCCUUUGAGGAGGCGGGCCCUGAGCAGCAGGCCCUGGAUAUCCUACUGGAGAGAGACAGGUCUGGAUGUAGGUACAUGAUUCACAAAGCAAAGAGGAGGUCACAGGAGUGAUGGGAGAUGGAGCAUGAGAUCCGGAUGGAGAAGAAUGGGUUCCACCCAGUGACCAAGAAGAGCAGAGCUUAGCAAGUGAGAAGAUUUUGGCAUCACUUUUGAUUCAACAUUGGCCUAUAGUCAUCCAGCCUGAAAAUAUCACCCCUUUCUCUUGGCUCUGGCAAAAGAAAGAUGGAGAGCUAACAGUCAUCCUUCUGCUUAUGAGGUGAGUUCUGGUGGAAAAGGAGCUGGAGCAUAUCUCUGAAAUGAUAGUACCAAGAACUGAUUUUUCGUUGUUAUACCUAUGAAUAUUUUGAAAAACAGACCUUGGUAAACAUUGGGCUGUCCUAUAUCUGAUAUAUCUAUGAGAAGAGAGGCCAGACCUCAGUUUAAUAAGGGCACCUUUCUUAGUCAGCCUCUUGCAUACCUGGAGCAUAUACUAAACCAUUCAUUCAUUUAUACAACAUUUACUGAAUAUAUUAUAUAUGCCAGAUAAUUAUUCUGGGCAGUAGAGAUAUGAAAUUGAAGGACGUUUGGCUCUUGCCCUCAAGGCACAUCAGUCUGGUCGGGGAAAUCCAGUAUUUAUCACACUGGAUUGUUUUCAAUACUGUGAUAGAAUAGAAGCAUGUACAGGGUGCUAUGGGAGAGGAGUCAGAGGUAUAAUGGGAAUAGGAUAUUUGCACUUUAUGUUUGAGUUAAUGUAUAGGGGACACAGGAGAAAAGGGUUUAUGACUUGGAUGACUAUAGAAGUGCUGUUUUCUAGGUUUGGCAAUAUAGAAGGAGAAAACAAUCAGUUUGGAUUUAGAAAUAAUGAGUUUGGGGGUGCUCGUGGGCAUGCAGGCAAAGGUGUCCAUUGACUGAAGUCAUGAGUUUUGAGUUUAGCAGUGAGAUUUGGGUUAGAAAUGUGGAUUCGAGAAUCAUGGGUUCAAGUUGAAGGCAUGAUGCAGAUGCAGUCAUUAGGGAGAAAGUGUAGAGUGAGAAGAGCAGAGUCACAAGGAUGGAGAUUUAAGUACACUGAAAGCGUAAGAGUGAGUCAAAGAAGACCUACUGUUGAAGAAGACCAAGAAGAAAAACUAAGAGAAGCAGGAAAUAGCCAGAAGGAAGUCAAAGGGAGAAAGGAAGAGAAUGAUUCAAAGUGAAUAUUUCAGAAGGUCAGAUAAGGGUGAACUCGUGCUGGUGGUGGGAGGAGGAGUGCUCCAAAGAUACUAGAAGGAAGAGCAGGAAGAAACCAGGUCACUGUUGUGAUUCCUGAGAUUGGUGCCUCAGCUCAGAAUCCUUCAGUUUAGACCUGAGAAAAGACCAUUAGGGGAUUUCUGGAUAGUUGAUAAAUUAGAGUUCUGGAUCUGUGAGGGUAUAAAUUUGGAAAUGAAAGCGUGGAAUAACUUUGGAGUUUGAGUAGGUUUCUUUUCUAAAUACUAAAAGAUGUGAAAGGAAAAUGGAUUGGUUGGGAACUAAUGGAGGUAAUGGUGAAGGAGCAAAAAAGUCCGAUGAGUGACCUUCAGCGUUCAGAAUGCGCUAGCUAAAUCAGAGGAAAUGGACAAAGGAAGUUCUGCAAAGGACCUGUUACUCUUUUAAAUUCAUGUCAGGCUCUUUGAGUAGUAAAUGCACCGUUCAUUCUCCUUAUUAUAUGUUAUUCCGUUGUAUGAUAAUAUCACAAGUUGCCAUUUUACUGUAGAGUUGUUUUGAGUUGUUUCCAGUUGUGGUUA